AUUGAAUGCUGGCGGCAGGCCUAACACAUGCAAGUCGAGCGGAUGAAGGGAGCUUGCUCCUGGAUUCAGCGGCGGACGGGUGAGUAAUCCCUAGGAAUCUGCCUGGUAGUGGGGGAUAACGUCCGGAAACGGGCGCUAAUACCGCAUACGUCCUGAGGGAGAAAGUGGGGGAUCUUCGGACCUCACGCUAUCAGAUGAGCCUAGGUCGGAUUAGCUAGUUGGUGGGGUAAAGGCCUACCAAGGCGACGAUCCGUAACUGGUCUGAGAGGAUGAUCAGUCACACUGGAAGUGAGACACGGUCCAGGCUCCUACGGGAGGCAGCAGUGGGGAAUAUUGGAAAAUGGGCGAAAGACUGAUCCAGCCAUGCCGCGUGUGUGAAGAAGGUCUGCGGAUUGUAAAGCACUUUAAGUGGGGAGGAAGGGCAGUAAGUUAAUACCUGGCUGUUUUGACGGUACCAACAGAAUAAGCACCGGCUAACUUCGUG
rnacentral:rRNA from 1 species